rnacentral:rRNA from 1 species
UACGGAAGGGGGCUAGCGUUGCUCGGAAUCACUGGGCGUAAAGAGCGUGUAGGCGGCCAGGUAGGUCUGCUGUGAAAACUCGAGGCUCAACCUCGAGACGUCGGCGGAAACCAUCUGGCUAGAGUCCGGAAGAGGAGAGUGGGAAUUCCUGGUGUAGCGGUGAAAUGCGCAGAUAUCAGGAAGAACACCCGUGGCGAAGGCGGCUCUCUGGGACGGUACUGACGCUGAGACGCGAAAGCGUGGG